ensembl:lncRNA
AUUGAUUUCUUAUUAAUAUUUGAUUUAUUUAUUGAUAUAUCUCGGAUCUUGAGCGGUCCCGUGUCGGACCCGUUUCCGAUCCACGAACGCGGACGCGGGCAACACGUUUGAAAGCCUUUAAGAGCAGAGACGAAUCAGACGAUCAUAUCAGUUGAGAUUUUCUUGGCUGGAACACGGUUGCGUUACGUCAGAAAAUUUGCCUUUGAGCUGGCAGUGCACUUCAGCUGCCCAUUCCCUGCAUCCUGGUCGAGGAAGAGCAUGGCGGGGAAGGACUGGUUCACCUCCUUCAUGGAGCGCAGUGGCAGCCUCUCCCUUCGGCGUCCAGAGGCCACUAGCCAACAACGGUUGUCCAGCUUCAACCAAACAAAUGUAAACUUGUUCCACCAAAAUUUAAAGACGGUGCUGGACCGGCACCAGUUCCAGGCCAAGGACAUUUGGAACAUUGAUGAAACCGGGGUCACCACUGUCCAGGUGCCAGACCGUGUCGUCACCCAGAUGGGGCAGAAGCAGGUCGGGUCAGUGACCUCAGCAGAGAGGGGGACCCUGGUCACAGUUGCCCUGGCAGGCAAUGCGCAGGGCGACCUUGUUCCGCCAUUCUUCAUCUUCCCCCGUAAGCGGUUCAAAGACCACUUCCUGGACCCGUUGGCUGUGCUGGCAGCGGCAACCCAACUGGCUGGAUGAAGGAGCCAGACUUCCUCCUGUACCUGGCCCACUUGACCAGGCACACCCGUGUGUCCAAGGAGUCGAAGCUGCUCCUCCUGCUGGACAAUCACCCGUCCCACCUGUCAAUUGCAGCAAUUGAUUACUGCAGAGCCAAUGGCAUAGUGCUGCUGUCAUUCCCUCCCCACUGCACCCACAGGUUGCAGCCAAUGGACAUUAGUGUCUUCGGCCCCCUAAAGGGGUACGUAAACAGUGCGGCGGACAGGUGGAUGAGGAGACACCCAGGGAUAAACAUCUCAAUUUAUGAUGUGCCCUCCAUCGUUGCUGAAGCCUUACCAAAGGCUGCGACAGUGAACAACAUUACCUCCGGGUUCUCAAGUCCAGGGAUCUGGCCUUUUAACCCCUCUGCGUUUGAGGAAAAGGACUUCGCCGGAGCCUAUUCCACAGACCGUCCUCCUCCCCAGGCUUCGGGUGACGAGGUCAGCGCUUCUCCAGGUGCCACUUCAGGCAUGGAUGUACCUGAUCGAGCUGCCGGGCCUGACGAAGCUGUCCGGCCUGAGGGAGAGGCUGUUAAGUUCAGCCUGGACAUCGUCCGGCCUUACCCUAAGGCCGGACCUAGAAAGAUCACAAAGAGAAGAGGGAGAAAGAGGACAACUGCUAUACUUACGGACACCCCGGUGAGGGCUGCUUUAGACAGGGUUCGUACGGUCAUGAAAAACCUGGAAAAGUCAUGGAAUUUUAAAAUGGUUAUUUCCAGGCCUAGAAAAGUGCUUGAAAAAAAAUAAAGUCCCAAAAGUUUUGGAAAAGUCAUGGAAUUUUUUUUUAUUCAUAUUUUCUUGUCGUUCAUUUACGCUGAGUUUUAAAUCAUGAAUAUGCCUUUAAAUGAAAUACGCUCAAAGUAUAAACAGGCACGCGCUGAAACUAAAACAUACGCAACUGAAACGUUUGUUGGCCAUAGCAACAGUAUCUGAGGGAAGCCAAAAUUAUUCAAAAUGCCAGGGAAGUGUAGGUUCAACAAUGCUUGGUUGCGAAAUGAGAAAUAUAUGUCAUGGGUUUCAUCCGACAAAGACCCGGGCCGAGCUAAAUGUAGGUUAUGUGGUGACAAAACGUUUGACAUAUCUAACAUGGGAGAGGCGGCAUUAACGAGCCAUGCGAAAGGCGCUAAACACCACAGCCAGGGCAACUGCUACGGCAAACAGCACGUCUCUCUCUUUGGUCUACUGCGGAGGUAAUGUGGGCACUGAAGGUGGCUAAUUCGCAUUAUUCGUUUAAGUCAUCUGAAGAUGCUAGCCUGCUCUUUCAAAGAAUGUUCCCCGAUAGCCAGAUAGCAACACAGUUUGCUUGUGGCGAAAGCAAAUGCUCGUUCCUCUGCUCUUUCGGUCUCGCUCCCCACUUCAGGAGUCUGACGUUGUCCAACGUAAUGAAGCAAAGGGCAUACGUCAUUCUCUUCGACGAAAGCCUGAAUAGUUAUUUACAGUCCAAACAGAUGGAUUUACAUGUGAGGCUAUGGGAUGGCGCCGAUGUUAAGACAAAAUACAUUGUGUUUUAUAAAGCUGUUUAAAUGUGAAAUUGUUUUGGUUGAUUAAUGGUCAAAGAGUUAGUUGCCAACUGUUCUGUUACAUUUUGCACUAGAAAAGGGAAAUCAAUGUUUGCACUAGCUGGAUGCUUCUGCAUACUAAAGCUCUUAUUGAUGUCAGUGCUGUGAAUGCAACCAGUAUAUUUAUAAAUGUUCAUUCUUUAAAUCAAACUAUUGUCUCUCAAUUUUGUGUCAUUUAAUGUAUACAGUAUGCCUCCGAA